GGAGGGAUGGGGAGGGGACUAGGGUCACCUACUGGCAGGCCAGGCCAGGCCAGGUCAAGUUGGAAAAGGAAGCAGAACCAUGGGCCAGUAAGAUGGCUCUGUGGAUGUGGGACUGAGGUUCAGAGGCCAUUCCCUGAGGUGUCUUGGCUGGAAUCAACUAUGUUGUCGAACUGGCCACUCAGCACCAUGUCAGCCCAGGGACAGGCAGCAAGUGGGAAAGCCUCCGUGACUUGGUGACUGGCUAGUAAUGUUCACACCUAUAGAAGGAGGCAGAACAGAUCUACAAAAUGAGGACUCCUGCACCCUGUCAGCCUUUUCACCUCAUCUGCAGUGAACAGAGGAUACAAGGAGACAGGCCAUGAGAGAGCUCAGGCUGCUUCAGUGUAUUUCUGAGAGGCUGGGAGCAGGCUGCCUGUAAGCCCAGGAGCUGCACCACAAAUUCUGUGCAAAAAAAACCCCUCAAGAUUAAUGACACUGGGCUGUCACCAUCUUGCCCCUAAGGCUGAGGAACUUGUUGAAGAAAGACAUCUGGGCUACAAUAAACAGUAAUGAGGUGUGACAAUACAGGCCUUGCUCUGGAUUUAUCCUUGUUUAAAUAAUGGGUUUCCAAAGUCCACCCAAGUGCACACCUGCAUUUUCGCAAGGAGAGAGCACAGAAGGCCGCCAGGGGCUAAAGAUGUCUACCCCAGCUUUGCUCUAGAGCUUCUUGAGUAACAAGGAAAGCAGUGUUUUUUACCUGUGGUGCCCCCUUCGAGCCCAGCACCAUAGGCUGACACUAGAGCAGGAUUCCCUGCUUGGCCAGGCUCUCCAACACGCACUUUGAAAGGGCUCCCAACCACGUGGCUCCCAUUGAACUUAACAUCGAUUGUGUGGAUGCCGUUCUCAUGCGGGAUGAAGCGAACAGCAUACUUAUCUAGAAGGAGAAGAGACACAAGGUAAAUGUGGGUGGUAAGCAGCCUGGAGUUAAGUGAGGACACAGAAUUGCAAGUCAACCUGAGCUGGCUAGUGUUGAAUCAUUUAAAGACUCUGUUCUGCUGGGUGCCUGGAAGCUAACACACAGAUUUCAAGACCAGUUAGACUUACUUGUGUCUCCCUAAUCAGUCCUUUGGGAAAUGUUUUGAAUCUCCAAUUCAGAACAUUCAUCAGAACACUGAGGCCCCUGCUUCACAAUCUGCUCUUUAUGAAAAGCUCACUUCUCACCAUGUUUCCCUAUUUGGCUCCUUGAAGGGAAAAAUACAGUUCCAACUGGCAUUAAGGCUCUGUAAUUAAGCUUGAGAAAAGCAACUGUCAGCAACAGAAACAGUCAGGCUGUUCUGUUUUGGGUCACCACAUGUGUCAAGGUCCUCUGUCAACAGACGAGUGCCUAGACUGGCCUUGCACGCCAUAGCAUGUGGCUUCUUUGAAACAGUUAGUCUCUGCUUCCAUGAACUCCUUAAGAACUCGUGGCCAUCAAUGCUCUACCCAGACUCACUUUUGUUUCUCUGGUACUCUCCACAAAGGAAUGUUCUAGACAGACCUACCUACCCAUAUCUUUCAGUACUGCACUUCCCCAAGCAUUUCCCAACUGAGUGCCCACCCUCCUUCCUUAAAGCCAAAAUGUUUCAGGGGAAGUGAACCCCACCCCAAUGUCCAGAUGUGGUCUUUAACAGGAUGGGGAAAAUUCUUUCCCCAAGGUAAAUCAAUUCAUUUCUUUAGUCAUAGGAAGUGACUCAGGAAUGGGCAUGUGUCCAGUACAUUGAGACAGGAGGAGAGGCCUGCUAGAGACUUAUAGAUUUCUUGCCUCUUGAGACUUCUGAAAACGAAUCCUGAGAAGAUGUCUCUUGACUGAUAUGGUAUAAAAAUGAAACAGCAGGUGCUGCUGUAACCAUCUUGCCACAAAAAAGUCAAGAAGCCUUGAAAUGAAGGAAGAGUAAGUGCACAUUGGGCCUGAUGUUUCAUAAUGGGAUGCAGUGGGGAGCCUGAGGCAGGAAGGUAACGGGUAUAAAGUUACUCUGGGAUAUAUGAAUUCCAGGCCAGCCGGGGUUACACAGAGAGGCUCUGAUUUCAAAAAAAUAAAACAAAGCAAAGCAAACAAAGCACAACAACAAAAAAAUCUUUGGGAACCUUGAGAAUGCCCACUAGUGACUGUUAAAAUUUACCAGACUCUGAACUCAGCAGUUAUAUGAAUCAUUGGGCCUUAUUAUUACAUGUGUUGGGUAUUCUAUAAUUGUAAUGAAUAACACCCCAACUAUGGCAUGCCAGUAAUGAUCUUAGAUACCACUGGGACUACAGAGGCUGCCUGGGCCAAGGACAAAUUUCAAUUGCUGCUGAGCUCAAUGCCAUGGACAUCUAAUUGAUAAGUAUUGGAUCCCCGGUUACUGAGUAUUUCUCAGGUGCGGGGUUUGGAGAGGGCAGCUGAGGGUGGGGUUUGGAAAGGGCAGCUCCAGGAGAGAUCCCCAACACUAAUAAACACCACCACCUGAUUAUCUGACACUCCAAGUAAGAAAGAGAUCCUAAUCAACUCCUGUGCCCCUCUAGCCAGGUAUCCUCAGUUCUGCUAACUGUAUGGGCACCUUCGUACCCACGCACCCAGAACACCACAUCUGUGUGUGUGGUCUGGAGGCUAGAGGUUGACACUGGGUAUCUUCUUCAGUGACUCUUCAUCUCAUUUUUUUGAGAUAGGUUCUUUUACUGAACCUGGAGCUCACUAAUGUGGUUAGACUGGCUGGCUAGCAAAAGCCUCUUAUCUCUGCUCCCCACUCCCACCCCAUCACAGCUGUGUGCCUGGUGGAAUCAAACUCAGGUCCCUAUGCUUGUACUUUACUAAGUGAACCAUCUCCCUCGUCCUUACAUGCUGUCUUUCAAAAUUCACUCUCAAACCCUAGGGCCAA